AUUGAACGCUGGCGGCAUGCCUUACACAUGCAAGUCGAACGGCAGCGCGGACUUCGGUCUGGCGGCGAGUGGCGAACGGGUGAGUAAUAUAUCGGAACGUACCCUGGAGUGGGGGAUAACGUAGCGAAAGCUACGCUAAUACCGCAUACGAUCCAAGGAUGAAAGCAGGGGACCGCAAGGCCUUGUGCUCCUGGAGCGGCCGAUAUCUGAUUAGCUAGUUGGUGGGGUAAAGGCCCACCAAGGCAUCGAUCAGUAGCUGGUCUGAGAGGACGACCAGCCACACUGGAACUGAGACACGGUCCAGACUCCUACGGGAGGCAGCAGUGGGGAAUUUUGGACAAUGGGGGCAACCCUGAUCCAGCAAUGCCGCGUGUGUGAAGAAGGCCUUCGGGUUGUAAAGCACUUUUGUCCGGAAAGAAAUCGCGCUGGUUAAUACCUGGCGUGGAUGACGGUACCGGAAGAAUAAGCACCGGCUAACUACGUGCCAGCAGCCGCAGUAACAC
rnacentral:rRNA from 1 species